CCUACGGGUGGCAGCAGUGGGGAAUAUUGGGCAAUGGGCGCAAGCCUGACCCAGCAACGCCGCGUGAAGGAAGAAGGCUCUCGGGUUGUAAACUUCUUUUAUCAGGGACGAAGCAAGUGACGGUACCUGAUGAAUAAGCCACGGCUAACUACGUGCCAGCAGCCGCGGUAAUACGUAGGUGGCAAGCGUUAUCCGGAUUUACUGGGUGUAAAGGGCGUGUAGGCGGGAAAGCAAGUCAGAUGUGAAAACCAUGGGCUCAACCUGUGGCCAGCAUUUGAAACUGUUUUUCUUGAGUGCUGGAGAGGCAGACGGAAGUCCUAGUGGAGCGGUGAAAUGCGUAGAGAUUAGGAGGAACACCAGGUGCGAAGGCGGUCUGCUGGACAGCAACUGACGCUGAGGCGCGAAAGCGUGGGGAGCAAACAGGAUUAGAUACCCCGGUAGUC
rnacentral:rRNA from 1 species